GACGAACGUUGGCGGCGUGCUUAACACAUGCAAGUCGAACGGUGAAGCGCCUUCCUUUUUGGUGGGUGUGGAUGAGUGGCGAACGGGUGAGUAACACGUGAGUAACCUGCCCCCUUCUUCUGGAUAACCGCAUGAAAGUGUGGCUAAUACGGGAUAUUCUGGGUCUGUCGCAUGAUGGGUCUGGGAAAGAUAUUGUUUCGGUGGGGGAUGGGCUCGCGGCCUAUCAGCUUGUUGGUGGGGUGAUGGCCUACCAAGGCGGUGACGGGUAGCCGGCCUGAGAGGGUGGACGGACACACUGGGACUGAGACACGGCCCAGACUCCUACGGGAGGCAGCAGUGGGGAAUAUUGAACAAUGGGCGCAAGGCUGAUGCAGCGACGCCGCGUGAGGGAUGGAGGCCUGCGGGUUGUGAACCUCUUUCGCCAGUGAAGCAGGCCUGCCUCGUUUGUGGGUGGGUUGACGGUAGCUGGAGAAGAAGCGCCGGCUAACUACGUG
rnacentral:rRNA from 1 species